rnacentral:rRNA from 1 species
GACGAACGCUGGCGGCGUGCUUAACACAUGCAAGUCGAACGGAAAGGCCCUGCUUUUGUGGGGUGCUCGAGUGGCGAACGGGUGAGUAACACGUGAGUAACCUGCCCUUGACUUUGGGAUAACUUCACGAAACUGGGGCUAAUACCGGAUAGGAGCUCCUGCUGCAUGGUGGGGGUUGGAAAGUUUCGGCGGUUGGGGAUGGACUCGCGGCUUAUCAGCUUGUUGGUGGGGUAGUGGCUUACCAAGGCUUUGACGGGUAGCCGGCCUGAGAGGGUGACCGGCCACAUUGGGACUGAGAUACGGCCCAGACUCCUACGGGAGGCAGCAGUGGGGAAUAUUGCACGGUGGGCGGGAGCCUGAUGCAGCAACGCCGCGUGCGGGAUGACGGCCUUCGGGUUGUAAACCGCUUUCGCCUGGGACGAAGCGUGAGUGACGGUAAUGGGUAAAGAAGCACCGGCUAACUACGUG